GAUGAACGCUGGCGGCGUGCCUAAUACAUGCCAGUCGAGCGAACAGAUGAGGAGCUUGCUCCUCUGACGUUAGCGGCGGACGGGUGAGUAACACGUGGAUAACCUACCUAUAAGACUGGGAUAACUUCGGGAAACCGGAGCUAAUACCGGAUAAUAUAUUGAACCGCAUGGUUCAAUAGUGAAAGACGGUUUUGCUGUCACUUAUAGAUGGAUCCGCGCCGCAUUAGCUAGUUGGUAAGGUAACGGCUUACCAAGGCAACGAUGCGUAGCCGACCUGAGAGGGUGAUCGGCCACACUGGAACUGAGACACGGUCCAGACUCCUACGGGAGGCAGCAGUAGGGAAUCUUCCGCAAUGGGCGAAAGCCUGACGGAGCAACGCCGCGUGAGUGAUGAAGAUCUUCGGAUCGUAAAACUCUGUUAUUAGGGAAGAACAAAUGUGUAAGUAACUAUGCACGUCUUGACGGUACCUAAUCAGAAAGCCACGGCUAACUACGUG
rnacentral:rRNA from 1 species